CCCCCUUCCUCCUUUCUUUCGUUCUAUUACUUUUUAUCUUCUCUCUCUCUCUUUCUGUUUGUUCUCUUUAUAUCGUGGUUGCUAAUCCAAAUUCGGAGGGAAACGUGAGACGAGGGAGUGCGGGAGUUGAUUCAGACGGAGACAGCGCCCCCGCCUUUGUCCUUUUCUUCUUCUUCCUUUUGUCCAUUACUUUGGCGUUGCCGUGUGGCCUCUCAGAUCAAAAAUUUUGAGGCAAGACUUUCCUUUUGACCGCAUCAUUUCAAUGGAGUUAAACGGCAAAUCCAUGGUCUCAGAGCCUGCAAAUGUUAUUUUAUUGAACAUUAUGCUCUAAACUUAUCAUUUUAUGUAUUGAAAACAUGCCUCUAGGAAUCCUUUUGGGAGGCAAAGUCCGAACUUGCUGCUUAUGAGAAUUUAGUAUUUGGAAAAAUUAGAGAUGGUAUUCUUGUUGCUGCAUCACAUCCACUGAUCAGUUGUGGAGUUGCAACUGGCAUGGGUUUCUUAGUCUUUAAAAGUAUGAUAUCAUUUAUUGAUGGGUUUUAAUUUGAUG